ensembl:antisense Gm13381 predicted gene 13381
UGUGUGUGUGUGUGUGUGUGUGUGUGAUGCCAUCUCUCAGAAGUGUGUCUGUGCGGUAGUGGUUAACUUGAGUGCCUGGUGUGUGUGUGUGAUGCCAUCUCUCAGAAGUGUGUCUGUGCGGUAGUGGUUGACUUGAGUGCCCCGGGCUGGGCCAGAUGCAAUGAUCCUGGCCAGUAAUAGGACGGUGUGCUGGUGGUGGAACAGUAGGGGGACAGUUAGGUCCUUCUAACCACCCCCCUCCCAAAAAAAAAAACUCUUCCAAGAAAGAAAACAACUUCCUUCCCAUGGCAAGAGCCCCGGACCGAACUGUAACAUCCAGGCUCCAGGAGGGUGACACUGAGGAUUCUCCAGGAUGGUCUCCAGGGUCCAAGAAAACAAGACAAGGGCCAGAGAACUAAGGCUGGAGCGUUUGGGGCCACAGCUGGGUGCUCAGAGCCUACAGUCUCCUCAAAGUCUGGGCUGAAGGCAGCAAAGCAGACUGACAGAGGGACCACAAAGACGACGAGCCCCACCAACACAGAUACACUGGGACAUAGGAUCCAUCCCAGGUACAUAUCUGUUCCUGCAGCUGCCC